CAUGGACCUAACCCUCUCAUUUUCAUCGUGCGCUCCCCGUCCCUCAGUCAUCAAGCGCACACUCAAACCGCAGACAUGAAGAGACGCAGGCACUCAAGUGAGGAUGUGCAGCAGUGUUGGCACUGUGUUGCUAUCGCUUUUCCAGUUGCCGUCACCGUUCCAAUUGCUGAAGGGAGAACUUCUCUUUCACCAGCUCAUGCUCAAUCUUCUGCCCCUUACAUAUACUGCUUACUCGAAUGAGGAACUUGCAUUCUUAACUCAAGUUUUCUGUUUCUGUGGACCGUGGGUGAAUUGAGUAAACCAGGGACUCUGAACCAUACAUUCUCACUCGUUUAGUUGCCACUUUGGCAAUUGUGUUCCUUAAUUCUUUAUUGAGCAACAUGGAGAAUUUGAGAAUGUUGCAAAGUUUGAAAAUGAAAAUGGAGGCCAAGAUGUAAAUGUUGAUGAUGGAAACUUCAUUGAAGCUCAAGCUUCUCUCUCUCAAGAUUAGGUGGCUCAAGCAUGGUUGAAGGCAAUUGGUUGGAUGACGAAGACCAAUAAAGUUUAUGGACUUGAAUUACAUGCUGCUAUGAUAUGUGUAAAUCAUGACAAGACUACUUGUAAGAUUAAUAUUGUUCAUCGUACUCCUCCACAUCCUACACCAAAUGUAGGAGAUGUUGUUAACAUAUUGAACCAUUAUGUUGUGACUUUUUAUAUAUGAUUAAUAGAUUGAACCAUUUAUGUUA